GUUCAUUACUGCUGAGCCACAAGGGGAGCUCCCACAAUGAUGUUUCUGUGUGAGCUCUUCCGAGUCUCCCCCCAACUUCAUCAGGUCCAAGUGACAUUGAGAAAAUGCAGUUCCUCUGGGGCUUUGGGCUCACACCGGCUGGGGCCUCCCUCUGCUCUUUCCUGUCCUCCCCCAGGGAAGAGGUGGCUUGCUCUGGCCUGGUGAGGAGAUUCAAACUGCUGAGCUUUGGGGCAUCACACAUAACCCUACGCAAUCCGACUUCACCUGCCCUUCAGAUCCCUCGAACGAGUCAUUGACCCGAUGAGUCUUAAUAAUUGAACGUCCUACUUUCAAGUCAUAGUUUAACUCGGUGCCUUGAGAGAAGUUAUAAAAACUAGUUUUGAGUUCAGGUGACCUAGGGCUACAGCAGACCCAGGAACAGAUGAGCUGAGGAGACAAAGGGCAGUUCGUCCCCCACCCCCCUCAACACUGAAAGAUAGCUGACAGGUGUGGGAGUCCGGACCUCAGCUCCAGUGCCGCUGCUAUAGGUCCUGCCCCGUGGCCUUCACUGACCUCCUGCUGCAGGUCGGGGGAGUCGGCCGCUUCCAGCAGAUCCAGAUUGUUCUGCUGACCCUGCUCAUGACCUUCAUGCAUAACACCCUGCAGAACCUCACGGCCGCCAUCCCCACCCACCACUGCCGCCCACCUGCCGACACCAACUUCAGCAGGUGGAGGCCUGGCUGCCCCGGGACGGCCAGGGGCGGCCUGCAUCCUGUCUCCGCUUCACGUCCCCCCAGCGGGGACCGCCCUUUCCCAGUGGCGCAGGGACCAACGGCACGGGGACCGCAGAGCCCUGCACCAAUGGCUGGAUCUCUGACCCCGGCACCUUCCCUUCCACCAUCGUGGCUGAGCUGAGGACCCCUGGAUCCCCUAACCCCCACGUCCAACCCUGUGACCCCAUCUUACCAUCCCCACACACAGACAUAGACGGUGUGAACCUGACCGGAGUGCGUCUGACUGUGGGAGGACCCUGGAGCCUUUAAGAGCUCUGCCCCAAACACAGGUUCUUCAUCGAGUCUGCCCUCUGGUACUGCUCCUUGGGGAAACUGGACAUCACCCUGAAGGCCCUGCAGAGAGUGGCCCAGAUCGACAGGAAGCAGAGAGAAGGUGCCAAACUGAGUGUGGAGAUGCUCCAGAUGAGUCUGCAGAGGGGCCUGACCAUGGGCCAAGCCCAGCCUUUGAUGCUGCAACUGCUGCACAUGCCAGCUGUCCAGAAGCUCUUCUUCUGUCUCCUGCCACUAUGGCAGAGAGGUCUGAGCAUGACAGCCUCCUUGGCCAACACAGGCAGCAUCCUGAGCCCGCUGGUGAGCACGGCCUCAGAGGUUUACCCUUCCCUGCCUCUCUGCAUCUCUGGAGCUGCCUGUCCCAUCACUGUCCUCCUGCCGGAGACUCUGGGGCAGCCACUGCCCAACACAGUGCAGGACCUGGAGAGAAGGUAGGCUGCCCCCUCUCCCCACCGCCCAGAGCUAUAAGGAGCUCCCAGCUUCUUGAUUCAGCCCCAUUUGCCAAAAAAAAAAAAAAAAGGCCAGACCUGGAGUUUCCAUCUCGGCUCAGUGGUAACGAACCUGACUAGUAUCCAUGAGGACGCAGGUUCGAUCCCUGGCCCCACUCAGUGGGUUAAGGAUCCGGCAUUGCUGUGGCUGUGGCAUAGGCUGGCAGCUACAGUUCUGACUGGACCCUUAGCCUUGGAACUUCCAUAUGCUGCAGGUGCGGCCCUAAAAAGACAGGGACUAACCAGUGGUCAUUCAGUUGGACUCUGGUGGAGCCAAGGCCAGAAUCAAGGCCUCCUGCCUCCUGAGGCUCCUGGUCCCGUUCUCACAGAUAAGUGGAGUCCCCCAGAAUCCUUUCUGGGACUCUCAGCUCUUGGAAACAGCGAGGGAUUUGGAAUAAAGCGGGACCGCCGAGCA
rnacentral:lncRNA from 1 species